GGAGAAGUAAAGAUGAAUAAGGAGGACAAAGAGAAGGAUAGAAGAUAUUAAGAAUCAAAUCAAAUAUUAGCAUAACCAUUCAAUGGUUCAAUUGAUUAAAAAUCGAUAAAAUGAGGCUAAUCAAGAUAAAAAUGAAAUAUAUCAACCUAAACAAAUUAACAUCAAUCUAUUAUCUCAAACAAACUACAGAAAAACUGCAACAGUACAUUAAAACAUCUCUUCUUGUCUAAUUCAGAUGCCCAUAGUGAAUGAUCAAAUAGUAUAUAACGCAACAAAAAGCUGCCACUGCCAAUAAACAAAGUUAUGCUAAAUCAAGCAGAAAACAGUCAAUUAAGUUCUGCUAAUAGCAUAUGAACCCUGUCUUACAAUCCACCAGCAGGUUCAAUGUCUAUCUUAUUCUUUAUUUAAAGAGAUGCAAGAGAAUUUAAACAUUAGACCUAUAGUCUCACUUUGUAAGACAAAGUUCUGUAAUGCAGCUCUAAAUGUAAAUGCACAAAAGCCCAUUAUUCUCAAGUAAAUGCAGUAAGGCUUGAUACUAAAAUUCAGAAAAUACAAUAUGAAGAUCAGAUCAUCUCAGAAUUUAUCUACCCUCUAUAGACUAUAACCACCGAAUAGAGAAGAACAUAC
rnacentral:misc_RNA from 1 species